GAAUCUUGGACAAUGGGCGAAAGCCUGAUCCAGCGACGCCGCAUGGGUGACGAAGGCCCUAGGGUUGUAAAGCCCUUUCGCCGGGGACGACGAUGACGGUACCCGGAGAAGAAGCACCGGCUAACUCCGUGCCAGCCGCCGCGGUAAGACGGAGGGUGCGAGCGUUGUUCGGAAUUACUGGGCGUAAAGGGUGCGUAGGCGGCAUCGCAAGUCAUGGGUGAAAGCCCGGGGCUCAACCCCGGAAUUGCCCGUGAAACUGCGGAGCUCGAGGCCGAGAGAGGGGGGUGGAAUACCCAGUGUAGAGGUGAAAUUCGUAGAUAUUGGGUGGAACACCGGUGGCGAAAGCGGCCCCCUGGCUCGGUUCUGACGCUGAGGCACGAAAGCGUGGGGAGCAAACAGG
rnacentral:rRNA from 1 species